rnacentral:lncRNA from 1 species
GCAAACAAAGCCCUGUAUCACAUAUAUACUCACAAGUCUCAACAUUCAUGAACAAGAAGAAAUCAUAUAUACCACCAUUCUAUGGGGCACCUUCCACACAUUAUUCUAAAUAGAAAAAAAAACAAACUUGCAUCUUAUUCAAAUCUUCAACCCUUGGAAUGCCAAUCAUCAAUUACAUCGCCAAGACUUAAGGAUAUGACUAAGUUAAUUUGUGUAUGUCACAUGGCAAAAAAG